UCUUAUUCUGAGCAUUCCAGUAACUUUUUUUGUGUAUGUACUUAUCUGUACUAUAAGUAGUUGGUUUGUAUGAGAUGGUUAAAAA
rfam:Otolemur garnettii contig104402, whole genome shotgun sequence.